UCCCGAGGGCAGCAGCCAGAAGCGGCUACUUGAAAGGGAGUACAAGAUGGUGUGGAUGUGAGCAUCCCAGCGCCUUCUGGCAAGACGCACACGAUGGAAGAUCCGACCCCUUAUUCAAGAGUGGUGUUUGGCAUUCUCGAAAAUUUAUUGAGGCAGUUCGGCCCUCGGGUGUUUCCCGAUUGCAGCAGCCAGAAGCGGCUAUUUGAAAGGGAGUACAAGAUGGUGUGGAUGUGAGCAUCCCAGCGCCUUCUGGCAAGACGCACACGAUGGAAGAUCCGACCCCUUACUCAAGAGUGGUGUUUGGCAUUCUCGAAAAUUUAUUGAGGCAGUUCGGCCCUCGGUUGUUUCCCGAGGGCAGCAGCCAGAAGCGGCUAUUUGAAAGGGAGUACAAUAUGGUGUGGAUGUGAGCAUCCCAGCGCCUUCUGGCAAGACGCACACGAUGGAAGAUCCGACCCCUUACUCAAGAGUGGUGUUUGGCAUUCUCGAAAAUUUAUUGAGGCAGUUCGGCCCUCGGGUGUUUCCCGAGGGCAGCAGCCAGAAGCGGCUACUUGAAAGGGAGUACAAGAUGGUGUGGAUGUGAGCAUCCCAGCGCCUUCUGGCAAGACGCACACGAUGGAAGAUCCGACCCCUUACUCAAGAGUGGUGUUUGGCAUUCUCGAAAAUUUAUUGAGGCAGU